UCCUGAGGUUAGCGGCCCAGGGGAGUACGAAAAAUUUUCAAUGGGUUCCAUGACGGCCGACUUAUUCUUGGCUGAGCUACUAACAGGUCUUGGAUCUCCAAACGCUCCAGGUAAAACAUCACCUGCAAAAUGAUGGACAAAGAGAAAUGAAAUU